UACGUAGGGCGCAGGCGUUAAUCGGAAUUACUGGGCGUAAAGCGUGCGCAGGCGGUUUGCUAAGACAGGUGUGAAAUCCCCGGGCUUAACCUGGGAACUGCGCUUGUUACUGGCAGGCUUGAGUGUGGCAGAGGGGGGUGGAAUUCCGCGUGUAGCAGUGAAAUGCGUAGAUAUGCGGAGGAACACCGAUGGCGAAGGCAAUCCCCUGGGCCUGCACUGACGCUCAUGCACGAAAGCGUGGGGAGCAAACAGG
rnacentral:rRNA from 1 species